CAUCCACGUAAUGUUGAUCACUAUACUCAUUUCCAUCAUAAUGCUUACUAUAUUUCUCAUGAAAUCAAAACCUCUCAAAUUUUAUUAAUUUCCUCGCAUCAAUAACAAUGACAUACCAAAAACAAAACACCCAAAACUACGUCGUUUUACGACCGUGUAUCUGCCUAGCAUGGACGGUUAUUCUGACACUGUGUGUAACGGCAGUGUUUUUUUUAUGGCCGCGUGAUCCGGAAGUAGAGAUGGAACGGUUAACGGUGAGGAAAGUUAGGGUACAUCCAUUACCACCGUUAAGUGCUGACGUGGCGCUAUCGUUAACGGUUAACGUUCACAAUAGUGGUUUUUAUUUUAUGGAGUUAGGGGAGGUUGAUGUUGGUGUUAAGUAUCGUGGGAACAAACUUGGUCACGUGGAGACGGAGGGUUGGCACGUGGGGAGAAGGAGUUCGGCUCACGUGUUCGGUGAGCUUGAGUUUAGUGGACUUGCUUCUGCUGACGUGGCGCAUUUGAUGCAGGAUAUUGCUAAGGGUAGGGUCCACUUUCAUACUUCUGUUGAGGUUACUGGACAGCUUGGACUUUCUUUCUUUCAUGUCCCGAAAAUUUUCAAGAUGAAGCCUUUGUUGAAGAGGGAAGAGUAAGCAUAAGGAAUGAAGAAGAGAAAAAAAAUUGAGAAUGGAUAACAAAGUUUAGUUGAGGGGCUACAAUGGUAGUACUAUCAUGUGAGGUUUUGGUGAAUACAAAAAACCAUUCAAUUCUACAACAACAUUGUGUUGAAAAAGACUAAUUCAACAAAUGCUCUCGAAUGCAACCAUCGGAAGAAGGCUCAAAAGAUAUUAAAUUUUAUUCCUAUCAUUGUUACAAUAGUCAUUGAAUAUAUUUAUUAAAAUUAUAAAAACAUCUCUUAAUAUAAUAUAUCUCUUUGUUUGUCAUUUUGAUAUUCAA